rnacentral:rRNA from 1 species
AACGAACGCUGGCGGCAUGCCUAACACAUGCAAGUCGAACGAGACCUUCGGGUCUAGUGGCGCACGGGUUCGUAACGCGUGGGAACCUGCCCUUAGGUUCGGAAUAACUCCCCGAAAGGGGUGCUAAUACCGAAUAAUGUCUUCGGACCAAAGAUUUAUCGCCUUUGGUUGGGCCCGCGUUGGAUUAGCUAGUUGGUAGGGUAAAAGCCUACCACGGCGACGAUCCAUAGCUGGUCAGAGAGGAUGAUCAGCCACACUGAGAGUGAGACACGGCCCAGAAUCCUACGGGAGGGAGCAGUGGGGAAUAUUGGACAAUGGGCGAAAGCAUGAUGCAGUUAUGCCGGGUGAGCGAUGAAGGCCUUAGGGUAGUAAAGCUCUUUUAACCGGGAUGAUAAUGACAGUACCGGGAGAAUAAGCUCCGGCUAACUACGUG